UGGCGGCGGGGUCGGGCUGGGUGUCAGUGACCCUCGAACGGCAGCUGCCAGUGGAAAUGCGCUUCUCGGUGAGAGCUCAGCGCAUCGACUGAACCGAGCCAACGUUACAAAUCUUAGUCUCGGUCCCAGCCAGUUGAAGUAUGCAUAGCGAUCUCUGCAGUGAGUAACCCAGCCGUCCACUGAGACUGAUGCAGAGCUGGCUUGCAGCUAUUGCAUGUUCUUGUUCCAGACUCCCAAGCUGCCUUUCCGCGACGAGAAGCCCCCCCACCUCUGCACGGCAAGUUAGCAAGAACCUAUACGGAGGAGCUGCUGAGAGACUUUCUAAGUGCCAGUUCUACAGUGGUCAAACUUUGGAGUGCAGUAGAAGAAAUGACUUCACCAUAUUCAGCUGUACUGGUUGUUAUUUCUGGAUGUUACAUACUUCAUGAAAUCUGAUUAAUUAUUAUUGUUUUUUUAAUACACAUAACUCCACUGGGUAAAUUUUCUAAAACAUUUAUUUUUAUUGCUUAUAUAACUACCUAAAAUGUUUUUCUUGGUAGACAAAUGUACUGUUUUUGCCAAACCAGAUUUUGUUUCAAUUUUGGGAACUUGUUGGAAAGCUAGUAUUCCCAUUUUCAAUGGUGCCUAUGCCAUGUUAUUAAAGUAGGUUUCAUGGAGAUGAAAAAUGUUUCUUGACAAGAAUCAUAACCAUUCGUUUACACUAACUAACUAUAUGGCUCUAUUCCAUUUGGAAUUCAGUGUCAUUCCUCUUAUACAGUGAUGCUUACCCAUUACCUCUUAGCUGUCUCUAAGCCUUCAGUGGUCUCCAUUGUACACAUCUCAAAUAUUUCAUGCCUGUGUCUGGCCCUCCAUGUUCCGGAAGAGACAUAGACUUGUGCUGGACCUGUGAAUACUCCUGUUUUGAUGCAUUUGAGGAAGUGGAGCCACCAGGAUCACUGAAAAGAUGGGAUUGCUAAGAGAAUUCUGGAAGAAAUUUCUUUAUCUGUGUAGUCCAGCAGGAAACCACAUUAUAUAAACUGAGCAAGUAUCUUUCUAAAAGUAGAUAGGGUUCUUGCCAUUAGUAUUUCUAAUACAAAGUGAUUAGAAACCUUGUAAUUCCCAGCCUAAAUGUGGUAGUGAUAGGUUUUAUACUCACUCACUCUUCUGGAAAAUAUGUGUAAGCCUAAGCAGCUAUUUUCAUAUUUUUUGCUUGAUGGAUUUGUAGUCAAAGAAAGUCUCUCGUGAGCCUUUGUUUUGCUUGAAUAAGUAAGACAUGUUCUUAAGUUUCCUGUCAUAAGACAUUCUUUUCAUUUAUCUUGCCAUUCUCUUAGACUUUCCACACACAGAUUCAAGCCUGACUUCACUCUGAAUGUGACUUGUACAAAAUAGUCCAGGUAAUGCAUUACUGAUGCUUUGUGGAAUUUACUGGCUUCAUUUAUCUCUCUUGGAACUUUGCUGGUACCUCCCAGGAUCAUGGUUGCAUUUUCUUGCAGAAAUGAUUUCUUAAAAUUUUGGGAUCAGCUUUUUUUCCUCAUUUUUUUCCUCAAUGGUUUCCAAAUGACUGAAAAUUGAGAAACAUAAAGCAUUUUACUGUUUUUACUAGUCCACUUUGCGUGCCUGUUGCUCAUGUUCUGGUCAUUUUGUUUCCCCUGUGUGAUGUCUACUGACUUCACAUUGUCAUCAGAGUGAUGUGAAGGAUAUUGAUAGAAACACUAAGUAAAAUUAGGCCCAAGACUGAUCUUCCAGGGAGUCACCAUUACUAUCUUUUAACCUGAUACUGUUCCUUUUCAGUAUGAUGUAUGGUUAUCUCACUUUUAUUAGUUUUUUGUUCACCAUGUUUCCUAUGCCAAUACCAUUGUCUCCACCUUACUUCAUACUUUUGCAUGUAAUGUCACAUCAAAAGCUA